rnacentral:rRNA from 1 species
GACGACGACUCCUACGGGAGGCAGCAGUGGGGAAUAUUGCACAAUGGGGGAAACCCUGAUGCAGCCAUGCCGCGUGUGUGAAGAAGGCCUUCGGGUUGUAAAGCACUUUCAGUAGGGAGGAAGGUAGUGUAGUUAACACCUGCAUUAUUUGACGUUACCUACAGAAGAAGCACCGGCUAACUCCGUGCCAGCAGCCGCGGUAAUACGGAGGGUGCGAGCGUUAAUCGGAAUUACUGGGCGUAAAGCGCAUGCAGGCGGCCUGUUAAGUCAGAUGUGAAAGCCCGGGGCUUAACCUCGGAAUUGCAUUUGAAACUGGCAGGCUAGAGUCUUGUAGAGGGGGUAGAAUUUCAGGUGUAGCGGUGAAAAUGCGUAGAGAUCUGAAGGAAUACCAGUGGCGAAGGCGGCCCCCUGGACAAAGACUGACGCUCAGAUGCGAAAGCGUGGGGAGCAAACAGGAUUAGAUACCCUGGUAG